rnacentral:lncRNA from 1 species
AGCCCUUUUAAUUUUUUUUUUUUUUUAGACAGGGUCUCUCUCAGUUGCUGAAGGUGGCUUUGAACUUGGGAUCUUCCUGUCUCAGCCUCCUGAGCUGCUGGAAUUAUAGGCAUGCCACCUCACCCGGCCAGGGUAAGGUUUUUAACAUAGCUCCUAGAUUUUGAAGAAUGAAUAAUGAUGCCCUGGACCUGCUGGCGGGACAGGUCUAGAGAGGCUGCCAAAAGUAGUUGGGCUAUUUGCUUUCUUGAAAAUGCCCAAGGAGAAGGAAUGCCCUCCUUCAAUUAUCAGGAAUAUGGUGUGACUGCUUUGAAUUUAAGACCACAUUAA